GGGAAAUGAAGUAAGUUCCCGUCUCCUGGGAGGGAACGGGGGAGGACGGAUCCGCCCGCGUCUGACUCAAGCCGGGAGAGGAAUAUCCCCUCGGUCGCUCCAGCCCAGCCCUCUUCCUCCUCCCCCGCCUGGCCCGCUCCUAGGAACCGGUGCGCAACGGAGGGAGUCGUCGUCCCCCUCUUGGCCUUCCCCAGAGGCUGGGGUUUCUUUCCGUCCCCGCUUCCCAGCCCCCCCCUCCAGCGCUCGCCCCAGUGUCCAGGAAUUGCCCGCCUUGGGGAGGGACCGAGGGCGGGGCGGAUGUCACCCCAUGGGAAGCGGGCAGGCGGCCAGGCGCUGGGGCAGCCGAGGCCGCCGCCGAGCACGCCGCGCGCACCUGACCGUGGACCGUGUGAGCUGCGCCGGCCCCUCACUCUCCCGGGAGCUCAGCUCCGGGGCGCAGCCUGCGGGUGGCCCGGCACCCGACUGGCGUGCACCCAUCUCCUCCCGCCUUUCAGGGUGCCUCACUGCCCCCACCCACCCUGGCUAGUCAAGCACAGAAAGAUACCGGGCGCUGUGCCCGGCGUUCCCUCCCUCCUCUGCCCCCUCCGGAGCAGAGGCGUCCGGGUCGCCUCCCCUCCGGCUGCGGCGUUACACAACCGCGGCGACGGCGCCUGCCCUGCAGCAGCGCGGGGCGUGACGCUUCACGUGGCCCGGACGCGGGUCGUAGCUCGGCUCACUGCAAGCCUCUGCACCGGCAUCCAAGCUGUGACCCCCGCGCACAGGGGCUGCCAGCCUGCAUGGGAUCCCGCCGCUAACCAGGAACUUGGGUGGCGCUGUUUACGGUCUAUUCCAGGGCAGGAGGAGAAAGAAGGAAAAAAAAGAUUAAAAACCCUCUUGGCCUAUCAGAGUGAAAUCUCCACAUUUAUGAAGCACACAUUCACUGAGCCCCUUUCCCAUUGUCAGAUGUCGUGCUCACGGCUAGAGACAGUGGAGAACCAAACACGGAUUUUGACCUUGAAUUUACAGGGACCUUGGGAAGGAGCCAACGAGGCCAAUCAGAAGACAGCCUUCAGCGGAAAGUCUAUCGGGGCCACCAGCAGAGAAUAAAAGAUGAGGUUUUAAUUUAAUAGUAACCAAGACGUUUAGGUAGUAGAGGUUAACUCGCAGGCCCGUGCAUGGGGCCCAAAGAUUAGCUCCAGCGGCCCCAGGUCUGGGCAAUCUCGCUUAGCUCCUCCCCCUCCCCCGCCCCCCCACCUGCCUUGGAAAAGUCUGGUCUCUUUGACCUUCUAACAGCCCGGAGCUGGGAAAGCAUCUGAAACGCAGAACCUGCGGCGCUGUGAGCUACGCUGACACACAGCAAGGGGCCAGUGGAAAUUGAUGACUAAAAUGAGGCCUGGCUGGGGAUUUCACUGACCUCUGCGCUCCCCUGCCCUGCAAAUUCGGAGAGUUGAGAGAUGACUGUUAACCUUCCCCCCACCGUGCUUGGGGGCUGCCUUGUGGAGCUAUACCACGUAUAUACUGCUCAACUCCAGGGGGAGCCAUUCACAUUGCAGUCCGUGGAAGAGACCCUCCAGAAUUGUUCGGUCCCACACCAAAUGCUGGUUUGUGUUGAUUAAGACACGGGUCACAUGAAGCUUGCAGUUCAGUCGUGUUCAUCCUGCAACGCACAGGCCACAUGCAACUGUUGGACACCAACGGCAGCUAGGAUUAUGUUCCCACAUAAAACUCCAAACAAUUACUUGAAA